GGAGCUUUGUUGCUCAGUGGAAGAGCAUCUGCUUUGCAUGCUGACGGCCUUGGGUUCAAUCUCUGGCAACUUCA